rnacentral:rRNA from 1 species
GGUGGUGCAUGGUUGUCGUCAGCUCGUGUCGUGAGAUGUUGGGUUAAGUCCCGCAACGAGCGCAACCCUUAUUACUAGUUGCCAGCAUUAAGUUGGGCACUCUAGUGAGACUGCCGGUGACAAACCGGAGGAAGGUGGGGACGACGUCAAAUCAUCAUGCCCCUUAUGACCUGGGCUACACACGUGCUACAAUGGAUGGUACAACGAGUCGCGAGACCGCGAGGUUAAGCUAAUCUCUUAAAACCAUUCUCAGUUCGGACUGUAGGCUGCAACUCGCCUACACGAAGUCGGAAUCGCUAGUAAUCGCGGAUCAGCAUGCCGCGGUGAAUACGUUCCCGGGCCUUGUACAC